rnacentral:lncRNA from 1 species
UUUGUGUAAUUUAUCUUUAAGUGUUUUGGCAAUGAACAAAGUAUAUUUUUCAAAUUCUUCUCUCUCUCUUUCUCUCCAGAAAACCAUUCAUCAUACUUUCCAAACCAGAAAUCCUAGAAUGAUUUGGCUCACCUAUACUGUUUCAGUGCUUCUCUCUACAGUGGUGUAUUCAAAUGAUCUCAGCAGAUUCACAGGACUUUCCAUUAGUGUCCACCUCAACCAUGUGGAUGAUCCAUCAAUUCUAUUUCUAAUGAUGUAUAUGCAAUGGCACCUAUUUCUAUGGAACAAACAAAACCUGUAGAGAGGAACUAAUAAUAAAGACUGUUGUGAAAUCA